GUGCGGCAGGCUACACAUGCAGUCGAACGGUAGCACAGAGAGCUUGCUCUCGGGUGACGAGUGGCGGACGGGUGAGUAAUGUCUGGGAAACUGCCUGAUGGAGGGGGAUAACUACUGGAAACGGUAGCUAAUACCGCAUAACGUCGCAAGACCAAAGAGGGGGACCUUCGGGCCUCUUGCCAUCAGAUGUGCCCAGAUGGGAUUAGCUAGUAGGUGGGGUAACGGCUCACCUAGGCGACGAUCCCUAGCUGGUCUGAGAGGAUGACCAGCCACACUGGAACUGAGACACGGUCCAGACUCCUACGGGAGGCAGCAGUGGGGAAUAUUGCACAAUGGGCGCAAGCCUGAUGCAGCCAUGCCGCGUGUAUGAAGAAGGCCUUCGGGUUGUAAAGUACUUUCAGCGGGGAGGAAGGUGUUGUGGUUAAUAACCACAGCAAUUGACGUUACCCGCAGAAGAAGCACCGGCUAACUCCGUGCCAGCAGCCGCGGUAAUACGGAGGGUGCAAGCGUUAAUCGGAAUUACUGGGCGUAAAGCGCACGCAGGCGGUCUGUCAAGUCGGAUGUGAAAUCCCCGGGCUCAACCUGGGAACUGCAUUCGAAACUGGCAGGCUAGAGUCUUGUAGAGGGGGGUAGAAUUCCAGGUGUAGCGGUGAAAUGCGUAGAGAUCUGGAGGAAUACCGGUGGCGAAGGCGGCCCCCUGGACAAAGACUGACGCUCAGGUGCGAAAGCGUGGGGGAGCAAACAGGAUUAGAUACCCUGGUAGUCCACGCCGUAAACGAUGUCGACUUGGAGGUUGUGCCCUUGAGGCGUGGCUUCCGGAGCUAACGCGUUAAGUCGACCGCCUGGGGAGUACGGGCCGCAAGGGUUAAAACUCAAAUGAAUUUGACGGGGGGCCCG
rnacentral:rRNA from 1 species